UGGGGGAUAUUGCACAAUGGGCGAAAGCCUGAUGCAGCGACGCCGCGUGGGGGAUGAAGGCUUUCGGGUUGUAAACCUCUUUCGCUAUCGAACAAGGCCCGCUUAGGGUGGGUUGAGGGUAGGUGGAGAAGAAGCGCCGGCUAACUACGUGCCAGCAGCCGCGGUAAUACGUAGGGCGCGAGCGUUGUCCGGAAUGAUUGGGCGUAAAGGGCUUGUAGGCGGCUUGUUGCGCCUGCUGUGAAAACGCGGGGCUUAACUUCGCGCGUGCAGUGGGUACGGGCAGGCUUGAGUGUGGAAGGUGUGACUGGAAUUCCAGGUGUAGCGGUGGAAUGCGCAGAUAUCUGGAGGAACACCGAUGGCGAAGGCAGGUCACUGGGCCAUUACUGACGCUGAGGAGCGAAAGCAUGGGUAGCGAACAGG
rnacentral:rRNA from 1 species